CUACAGCAAAGGACAAUGCAAAGUAAUAAGGAGUGCCAACUUUCCGCUCCGAGUAGGCUCUAUAGCUACCCACCAGAUUAUGGAGACGAUCGGGUGUUGACAGAAUAUCAGGACAGGACCACACACCACGGACCGUGCAAUACUCAAAGUGCCCCUGAACUCACGACAGGAAUGCGAUAGAAGGAUUACGGUGACGUCACUAGUAUGACGUCAUGGAUGCACGUGCAUCGAGAUGAGCGCAAUGGAGGAGAUCACAAAUCGAGGGCCUAGCUGUCUCACGCUACUUCAUGAGGUCCAUGUUCUUUUGUCAGAAAAUGAUAUUUGAUUACCUCGUGGGUUGCCUUGUCAAAAUACUGUUUGUAUGAUAUUAAGGCUGUCUCGAUUUGUAUGUGUUUUUUAAAAAAACCCAUAAUAAACAUUUUGGUGUUUUA